AUUUGUUUGCCAUGCUGUAUUUUCUCCAGAAAAUCUAACCAUAUUAUUCACGCUCCCUGCAGGGAUGCUUAUGACUGGAUGUACACCACACCUGCAGUGCUGCCUUAUGGAUUUCACGUCUCUGUUAUCAUCAACAUUGGCUUGAAUAUCACAUGGUUGUUUCUGUUUGAUAGAGAGUAAGUAUGUUGUCUUGGGUUACAGCAACCCAGAAAGCUACACUCGUUGAAAGUUGAAUUUUUUAAGCUUACACGCCUUAUUGUUUGUGUUUAGGUUGUUGCUGCCGGCACUGAUAGUCUCAGCCUUAAUUAUGAUCACGAGUUACAUGAUUCUUUUUUUCGCCUGUCA